UCCGCCGUUUUCAAUACAUAAAAUAGACCCCCCCUGAAGAUCAUCUUCUUCGAGACCCCCUCCCCCCAUCGAUUCAUCUUCUUCAACCGUUUUCAACAUAGGAACACCCCAAAACAGACCUCAUCCCAACGACCUCCCUCUCUAAAACAAAACCAGCAACAACCAACGUUCACCAGUUCCGCCAUGAACGACCACCCCCAAGAGAAAAACUAGAUGCUCUCACUUCUGCUUCCUCACUCAAGUUGUUGCUUCGCUGGAAUUGAUCACCGGCGAGUGGCGACACCACUAGCAAUGGAUGUGGCUAGAAACCCCAAAACACAGCCGCGAUUCUGUCAGUUAUACAAAAAACGAAAAAUUAUUCUGUUUUUCUUCUUCCAUUUUUCCGACUUUCAUCUCAAAAAUCAGAGGUGUUGUCCACUGAUUUUCGUACCAUAAUGAAGGUCAUUUGAUGUAGUUUAUGGAUUCAAAAUAUCUUGUACCGGUUCGAGGUUCUGUCAAGGUCCGUGUUCGAGGGUCCUAUCCGAUUUGAGUUCCGAUCGUGGUUGUGGUUUGUUUCCACCCGUGUAACUGCUGGAAUUUUUAUUAAUUGAAGGCAACUUGAGGUUUUCAUAUUACUUGAACUGUAUUAAACUGUCUCCCUACGCCUCCCUUCUGAGUCUUCAAAACAAAAAAAAAGUGCACACAUUCGCAUGGCCCACUUUUUCUGUUAGAAGUUAUACCAAAUAGAACGAGGCUGGGCCAGUGAUUAAAGCCAACUCUACACUACUACAAAGUAUCAAGAGUGGUCGAAGCAGCUUUUACCCGAGAGGUCGGGAAAGAUUUCCACAGGGAGAUAGAGAUGGGAAUUGAGUUUAUAUCUAAAUUAAAGAUGCGUAAUUGCUCCUAA